rnacentral:tRNA from 1 species
UGGCUCAGUGGUAGAGUGCUUGCUUUGCAUGCAUGAGGCCUUGGGUUCAAUUCCUCA